rnacentral:rRNA from 1 species
GAGAGUUGAUCCUGGCUCAGAGUGAACGCUGGCGGUAGGCCUAACACAUGCAAGUCGAACGGCAGCACAGGAGAGCUUGCUCUCUGGGUGGCGAGUGGCGGACGGGUGAGGAAUACAUCGGAAUCUACUCUGUCGUGGGGGAGUAACGUAGGGAAACUUACGCUAAUACCGCAUACGACCUACGGGUGAAAGCAGGGGACCUUCGGGCCUUGCGCGAUUGAAUGAGCCGAUGUCGGAUUAGCUAGUUGGCGGGGUAAAGGCCCACCAAGGCGACGAUCCGUAGCUGGUCUGAGAGGAUGAUCAGCCACACUGGAACUGAGACACGGUCCAGACUCCUACGGGAGGCAGCAGUGGGGAAUAUUGGACAAUGGGCGCAAGCCUGAUCCAGCCAAUACCGCGUGGGUGAAGAAGGCCUUCGGGUUGUAAAGCCCUUUUGUUGGGAAAGAAAUCCAGCUGGCUAAUACCCGGUUGGGAUGACGGUACCCAAAGAAUAAGCACCGGCUAACUUCGUG